rnacentral:tRNA from 2 species
CGGGAUGUGGCGCAGUUGGUUAGCGCACCUGCUUUGGGAGCAGGGGGUCCUGCGUUCGAGUCGCAGUAUCCCGA